UCUAGAGAGGAAAGAAAGCUCUCAUUCUCUCCCUUUUUUAGUUUAGCAUCUAGGGUAUCAUCUUGCCCUGAAAUUAGGAGGCUACUAAUUUACGGUGGUUUGAUCCUUGUGUUCAUAGGCAGUCUAGUUGGGUUAGAUGCAAUUGAAUCCUCUUUUUGGCAACGUUCUUGUUUGAGAUUCAUACAACGGUUCGUUGGGAAUUUGUUAAUUUCACAAGAUAUUAUCCUAACCGAAUUCCUUUAUAUUAUUUGCAUAUAUUUCCAAUAAAUAUUGUGUAAAAACAUAGGAAGCAGAUUCCCACUUUCAAGAAAGAUGUCAUUUUUUAAAACAAACAAUAGUAUUUUUCACUACGGCGAUAGGGGAGUAUGCUAAGCCUCACAAUAGACUAGUAAUAAUGUGAUUCAAAUUCAUCUUUGGUGAGAAUUGAACCAAAGAACUCUAAGUGAAAAUAAAUACUACUAUAUUGUAGUACUAAGCGGCGAGAGGACAUUUUGUUUAAAAGUACUCUAAAGUAGCUACUAAGGUAACAAGUGGAUUUUCACUUUCUUUUAUAGUCAGAAUUGCUAACUAAUUGGUAAUCUUUUUUUGGAUUUAAUCUAAUUUUAGAUGGCAAACAAGAGUUCGUCAAUUUAUUGAGCAUAUGCGUCCAGUUGUCAAUUAAGGUGAUUGUUGGUCAGUAACAUCACUCAGUGCUUCCAAGUUGUGUAUCAUCUGAACACCAGAAUUUGGAUUUUAAUCCCCACAACAUCUUGUGGGUUGCGUCCCAAAGGUUCUCGCGCGCCCAAAUGAAGAGAAUCUUACCCUGCCACUAUAUGCACUUACUGUACAUGAAGAAUCAUGACGUUGCAUUGGAAAGCAAUUAAAUGUUUUGAACAUUUUUUAUUUCUCCCUUUAGGGACAUGGCUUAAAAAUUCAGAUUGGAAUUACAGGAUACUAAGGGGCCAAGGGCCCAACACAAAAUUAUUCAAAAACUCAGUACAUCUACUCCAAUAAUUAGAGGACUUGUCAUACAGCCUAGCCUGCAUAUGCAGAAUCAAAUUACAGGUUACGGUCCAUAGCAAAUCCUCAAAUUGUUGGGGUGAGCGUAUUGAGUUUUUAAAUUAUUUCAUGUUGGCCGCUGAGUAUCCUGUAAUCUCCAAAAUGGAUUUUUAAGCCAUGUCUUUGAAAGCAGAAUUGAAAAAAGUUCAAUAAUUUAGUUAGCAUAUUUGUAAAGAUUUGAAUUUGAAGGUGUUUGAUUAAUUCUUAUGUUGAUUGGGUUGUCCAUAUAAGGCCAAUCGCUAAUCGCUUUCCAAUACAAUGUCAUGAUUAUAGUGCGUCCAAUAUAUGGUGGGACUUUUGUCAUAGUGGUAGGUCAAGGUCCUCUUCUUUAGGCGCGGAUGAAACCUAGGGUCACAAUCCACAAGAUGUUGCGGGGAGAGCAAAAGCCAGAUUCCUUCAUGUGGUACAUAGCUUGCAAGCACUUAACUGUCCAUCACUAAUCUGAAUUGGCAUCAUGAUUAAUAAAUAAAUAAUUUUAUGUUAAAAUAAUAUUAUGAUUACUGAUUAGUUUCUAAAUUGCACUAAUAAUUAUAUUACUUACUGGCUUCUUGGUGUCAAACAAAUGGAUGCAUAUGCUCAAUGCGGUUGACGAACUCUGGCUGAGUUUGGGUGUCAUUCCAUGAUAUAGAAUGAGAGAUUGCUCUAGUACUAGUAAAUUUUGUAUCCAAGUAGUUUAUGUGCCAUUAGCUAGCUCUUAGCUCUAUAUAUUAUUUUGGUCACUCUUGCUGGAGUUGGAGUAAAAACUGAAUUGCUUCCCGUUUCAAUGUUUAUUUUGAAUUACGAGUGAAGUGAACUUCUUGUGGAGUAGGGAAGGGUCUGAUGUUGUAGUCAUUGGGAGUGGUAUCGGCGGAUUGAGUUGGGCGGGGCUUUUAGCCAGGUUACUUGUUCCGGGGAUUGAUGUCUUUGAAGUGAAUUAUAUGUAUUUUAUGUCUUAACAUUCGAACCAACAUUUAUGCUGCAGUUUAUACGUGCGAAAAAAUCUGUUGCAGCAAUGCAUCUAUGUGGGACAAUCUAUUACCUAAGAAAGCUGUUCCAAAGUCAUUUCAGGACAGGACGAAGACGACCUCCCAAAGUGAAUCGUUCCUACAUCUUCAUUUGGGAUUUGAUGCAAAGGAAAUGCGGAGAGCCAUGGAGCGUGCGGUUGGUCCUGGCUUUGGCCAUGAGAAAUGCGAGGUGAAGUUAUUCGGAUCUCCAUUGACGCACCAGAGGUUUCGUUGAAGGAACCGAGGAACGUCUGGACCAGCAAUAGAAGCCCGUAAAGACUCAUUCCCGGGGCAUUCAACUUCCACCCCUUAACUUUAUUGUUGUGGAGAUUCUACAUUUCCUGGCGUCGGAGUCCCUGCAGUUGCUGUUGAAUUAUGGCCAAAUUAUGGGGCAUUUUUUUAUCCGGCCCAUGUGAAAGCCAUUGUUUGUGGCUAGGGUAUAUUGCAAGAAGCUGCUGCCCUUUUGGUUUUGAAGCAGAAAGGGAGAGAUUAGAAGCUGCCGACAGCCUCUAUUUGCAAGAAGAGAAGAGAGCUGCUGCCCCCGUUUUGUUAGCAACCACCCAUCAAAGUUGUAGUUGUAAUAGCUUUGAGUUUUGUAUAGAGAGAAAAUUAAUCACGAUAAU